CCUACGGGAGGCAGCAGUGGGGAAUAUUGCACAAUGGGGGGAACCCUGAUGCAGCGACGCCGCGUGAGUGAAGAAGUAUUUCGGUAUGUAAAGCUCUAUCAGCAGGGAAGAAAAUGACGGUACCUGACUAAGAAGCCCCGGCUAACUACGUGCCAGCAGCCGCGGUAAUACGUAGGGGGCAAGCGUUAUCCGGAUUUACUGGGUGUAAGGGGAGCGUAGACGGUUAUGCAAGUCUGAAGUGAAAGGCCAAGGUUCAACCAUGGGACUGCUUUGGAAACUGUAAAACUGGAGUGCAGGAGAGGUAAGCGGAAUUCGUAGUGUAGCGGUGAAAUGCGUAGAUAUUAGGAGGAACACCAGUGGCGAAGGCGGUUUACUGGACUGUAACUGACGUUGAGGCUCGAAGGCGUGGGGAGCAAACAGGAUUAGAUACCCGGGUAGUC
rnacentral:rRNA from 1 species